rnacentral:rRNA from 1 species
CUGGCCGUAAACGAUGGAUACUAGGUGUAGAGGGUAUCGACCCCUUCUGUGCCGCAGUGAACGCAAUAAGUAUCCCGCCUGGGGAGUACGGUCGCAAGACUGAAACUCAAAGGAAUUGACGGGGGCCCGCACAAGCAGUGGAGCAUGUGGUUUAAUUCGACGCAACCCGAAGAACCUUACCAGGUCUUGACAUUUAUGGAACGAGGUAGAGAUACCUUGGUGCCUUUCGGGGAACCAUAAAACAGGUGG